CCUACGGGAGGCAGCAGUGGGGAAUAUUGCACAAUGGGGGAAACCCUGAUGCAGCAACGCCGCGUGAAGGAUGAAGGUUUUCGGAUUGUAAACUUCUUUAGUCAGGGACGAAUAAAUUGACGGUACCUGAAGAAUAAGCCACGGCUAACUACGUGCCAGCAGCCGCGGUAAU
rnacentral:rRNA from 1 species